rnacentral:rRNA from 1 species
GUAGGGGGCAAGCGUUAUCCGGAUUUACUGGGUGUAAAGGGAGCGCAGGCGGCAGGAUGAGUCUGAUGUGAAAACCCGCGGCUCAACCACGGGAUUGCAUUGGAAACUGUCCAGCUAGAGUGUCGGAGAGGUAAGCGGAAUUCCUAGUGUAGCGGUGAAAUGCGUAGAUAUUAGGAGGAACACCAGUGGCGAAGGCGGCUUACUGGACGAUGACUGACGCUGAGGCUCGAAAGCGUGGGGAGCAAA